rnacentral:tRNA from 1 species
UACCUGGUGGUCCAGUGGUUAGGACUCAGCACCUUCAUCUCUGGGGCCUGGGUUCAAUCCCUGGCCAGGGAA